rnacentral:rRNA from 1 species
AAAUUGAAGAGUUUGAUCAUGGCUCAGAUUGAACGCUGGCGGCAGGCCUAACACAUGCAAGUCGAGCGGUAGCACAGAAGAGCUUGCUCUUUGGGUGACGAGCGGCGGACGGGUGAGUAAUGUCUGGGAAACUGCCUGAUGGAGGGGGAUAACUACUGGAAACGGUAGCUAAUACCGCAUAACCUCGCAAGAGCAAAGAGGGGGACCUUCGGGCCUCUCGCCAUCAGAUGUGCCCAGAUGGGAUUAGCUAGUAGGUGAGGUAAUGGCUCACCUAGGCGACGAUCCCUAGCUGGUCUGAGAGGAUGACCAGCCACACUGGAACUGAGACACGGUCCAGACUCCUACGGGAGGCAGCAGUGGGGAAUAUUGCACAAUGGGCGCAAGCCUGAUGCAGCCAUGCCGCGUGUGUGAAGAAGGCCUUCGGGUUGUAAAGCACUUUCAGCGGGGAGGAAGGCGGUAAGGUUAAUAACCUUAUCGAUUGACGUUACCCGCAGAAGAAGCACCGGCUAACUCCGUGCCAGCAGCCGCGGUAAUACGGAGGGUGCAAGCGUUAAUCGGAAUGACUGGGCGUAAAGCGCACGCAGGCGGUCUGUUAAGUUGGAUGUGAAAUCCCCGGGCUUAACCUGGGAACUGCAUUCAAAACUGACAGGCUAGAGUCUUGUAGAGGGGGGUAGAAUUCCAGGUGUAGCGGUGAAAUGCGUAGAGAUCUGGAGGAAUACCGGUGGCGAAGGCGGCCCCCUGGGCAAAGACUGACGCUCAGGUGCGAAAGCGUGGGGAGCAAACAGGAUUAGAUACCCUGGUAGUCCACGCUGUAAACGAUGUCGAUUUGGAGGUUGUGCCCUUGAGGCGUGGCUUCCGGAGCUAACGCGUUAAAUCGACCGCCUGGGGAGUACGGCCGCAAGGUUAAAACUCAAAUGAAUUGACGGGGGCCCGCACAAGCGGUGGAGCAUGUGGUUUAAUUCGAUGCAACGCGAAGAACCUUACCUACUCUUGACAUCCAGAGAAUUUGCUAGAGAUAGCUUAGUGCCUUCGGGAACUCUGAGACAGGUGCUGCAUGGCUGUCGUCAGCUCGUGUUGUGAAAUGUUGGGUUAAGUCCCGCAACGAGCGCAACCCUUAUCCUUUGUUGCCAGCGAUUCGGUCGGGAACUCAAAGGAGACUGCCGGUGAUAAACCGGAGGAAGGUGGGGAUGACGUCAAGUCAUCAUGGCCCUUACGAGUAGGGCUACACACGUGCUACAAUGGCGUAUACAAAGAGAAGCGACCUCGCGAGAGCAAGCGGACCUCAUAAAGUACGUCGUAGUCCGGAUUGGAGUCUGCAACUCGACUCCAUGAAGUCGGAAUCGCUAGUAAUCGUAGAUCAGAAUGCUACGGUGAAUACGUUCCCGGGCCUUGUACACACCGCCCGUCACACCAUGGGAGUGGGUUGCAAAAGAAGUAGGUAGCUUAACCUUCGGGAGGGCGCUUACCACUUUGUGAUUCAUGACUGGGGUGAAGUCGUAACAAGGUAACCGUAGGGGAACCUGCGGUUGGAUCACCUCCUUACCAAGAAG